rnacentral:rRNA from 1 species
GACGAACUGUUCUAACGUUAUUCGGAAUCACUGGGCUUAAAGGGCGCGUAGGCUGUUUGUUAAGCGGGGUCUGAAAUCCCUCGGCUCAACCGAGGAACUGGGCUUCGAACUGGCAGACUAGAGUGAAGUAGGGGUAAGCGGAACUUGCGGUGGAGCGGUGAAAUGCUUUGAUAUCGCAAGGAACACCGGCGGCGAAGGCGGCUUACUGGGCUUCAACUGACGCUUAAGCGCGAAAGCUAGGGUAGCGAACGGGAUUAGAUACCCCUGUAGUCCCUGAGCGGGCU